CCCUUUGAUACUCUGGGCGGCACGCGCGCUACACUGGUCUAUUGAAUGUGUUAUGAAAGCGAGAGCUUAAAUAAAUCACUAAUAUAGAACCGUGAAUGGGAUAGUUUAUUGCAACUUACAAACUUGAACUAGGAAUCCCUUGUAGAAGUAGUGCAUUAUACUGCUUCGAAUACGUCCCUGCCGAUUGUACACACCGCCCGUCGUUUCUUCCGACUGGUACUCAUUGUGAAUUGCGGGGAGAUACUUUCGAACCGUUGUGAAUGCUGGGUAUUGGAGGAAGAAAAAGUCGUAACA
rnacentral:rRNA from 1 species